rnacentral:rRNA from 1 species
UACGUAGGGUGCGAGCGUAAUCGGAAUUACUGGGCGUAAAGCGUGCGCAGGCGGUUAUUUAAGUCAGGUGUGAAAGCCCUGGGCUUAACCUAGGAAUUGCGCUUGAGACUGGAUAGCUUGGAGUGCGGCAGAGGGAGGUGGAAUUCCACGUGUAGCAGUGAAAUGCGUAGAGAUGUGGAGGAACACCGAUGGCGAAGGCAGCCUCCUGGGCCAGCACUGACGCUCAUGCACGAAAGCGUGGGGAGCGAACAGG